AUUGAACGCUAGCGGGAUGCUUUACACAUGCAAGUCGAACGAGUGGCGGACGGGUGAGUAAUAUAUCAGAACGUGCCCAGUAGCGGGGGAUAACUACUCGAAAGAGUGGCUAAUACCGCAUACUAUGGUAGCGGCCGAUAGUGGAUUAGCUAGUUGGGGGGGUAACGGCUCACCAAGGGAACGAUGCGUAGCUGGUUUGAGAGGACGACCGGCCACACUGGGACUGAGACACGGCCCAGACUCCUACGGGAGGCAGCAGUGGGGAAUUUUCGACAAUGGACGAAACCCUGACCCAGCAAUCCCGCGUGUAUGAGAAGGUCUUCGGGUUGUAAAGUACUUUUGUUAGAGAAGCGGUAUCUGCCGAAUAAGCCCCGGCUAACUACGUGCCAGCAGCCGCGGUAAUUC
rnacentral:rRNA from 1 species